AGAUUCAAAUUGGUGGUGUCUAUCUCAGUUAUCCUCAAUCAUGUAUCGUGAAUAUAUACCAUAUAACGGGUUUGUAUUUUGGAUGCCAUAUUUACACGAAUAGGUUUAUAGGCGCUUUGGAGAAGCACCUACUUUACUAGAGCAAAUAAUUUUCGUAUUUGAAUGAUGAAAAAGAUAUGGAUACUCUCAUCUUUAUCUUGAAAAUGACAAGAUUGUAUUCAGGUUCACUGAUAAAAAAUCCUAUUGAAAUAAGUAUCAUGUCAACUUAACAUCGAGUUAAAUAUCGUAAUUGAGUACGCGCAUUGAAUAUUCAGGAGAAUAUUAUCAUCGGAGCGGAAUUUUUCCUCAAAUUUAAAUCCAGUUUUCCAUGGAAUUCAAAGUGUUUGAUAAGAUCCUACUACAUACGGCAAAAGGGAUUUGGAAGAUGUUUCUGCUCUGAAUCACAUGCCGUGCAUCGUGAACCAUUCAAAUAAGCAAGAUGAUGCAGCAUGUGUAGCAGACUCCAUUCGUCGUCUUUCGGCCAAUGACUCCUAGAGAUCAGCGUUUCAGAUGACUAAGAAAGCCAUUUCAGAGCUAAAUUGUCACUUUUCUUUCUUUAAUGAGGAUAGGCGCAACUUUGAAAAU